rnacentral:lncRNA from 1 species
AGAACCUUGUGUUGAUCCAGUAGUUGACCUGCUAUUUUUGGUUGCACCACUGGUUAAUUGUACCAUUAUAUUCCGCUUCAGUCAUGUUUCUUGUUGGCCUAACCGGAGGUAUAGCCAGUGGAAAAAGUGCUGUCUCUCUUAUGUUGAGGUUGUUGAACUGUGAAGUUAUCGAUGCUGAUAAAAUUGCUCGGGAAGGUCAGUUGAUUAAACAUUGAUCCUUACUUUACUCGUAAUACACCCUUCAGGAAGUAUGUCACUUUAAAUAUAGAGCCUCGUUUUCGUGUAUGUGACAAUAGUUAAAACCCAACAUGUCAACCAUGAGAGUUGCAGAGCCGAUUAAUCCUCCGCGGAACGGGUGGGGCUAUAGCUUCCCCAAAAGUAAAAAUGCCCCUGGUUAUUUAUCGAGGCUAAAAUAGUUGAAUGACGAGGGUUGUUGAAUUGUCUAGAAUCGUUCACGAGGGCAGACAGUGCCCCAAAAAUGGUGGAUUUCGGCCUUCGCGAGAAAGGCUAAUUAAGCUAACCCAAAUAGUUUUGUUAUUAGUAAACCAGAUUAUCAAGAGUGUUUUUAGAGUGAAUACGUAUACGUACACUAAACGCAAAGAGAGAUGAGUCUGUUGGACGGAUAACUCACAGUAUUUGACUGAUGACCUAAUUAUCUACAAGUAUAUAUCGUGCCAUUACAUCCAGAGGCUCAAAAAAUUACAAACACUCACAGAGGCUGCAUAAUGAGAGGGGGGGAUUGGGGGCAGGUGCCCCCCACUUGUUGUGCAAGGAGAAAAUGUGCCCUUUUUGUGGACUAAAAAUGCCCUUUUUUCCAGCAAUUAAAGAGGAAUUGUAGAUGCCCCCUUAAGCUAAGAAGUCUACAAAUGCCCUGUCUUAUUAUUUUGCACGUGAACAAGGACAGUUGGCAAUUUUGAAUGAAAUUGAAUUGAUUAAUAAAAAAUGUAAAAAAAUUAAAUUUGUGGUUAAUGUGUUCAUGUUCAAUUUCGGACACAGAGCUAUUAGAGAAUACGUAUAACAUCCGAGGCUGUGUAUUGAAUGCGUCUAAACCUCUAGACCUUCUAAGGACACAUCUAACAUAUUUAGAAUGUUUGCUGAUCCAAGUGCCCUUUCUGCUCAGUGCCCCCCACCCACACUUUCGAGGUGUUUCCGUGGUCUCUGAACACUCAUGAUAUUUUUAAAUAUUUCUCGUUCAGUGGUAGAACCAGGAAAGCCAGCGUGGAAGAAUAUUGUAAAGAACUUUGGGGAAGACAUUCUUCUUCCGACUGGCGACAUAGAUAGAACUAAGCUAGGUGAAAUUAUUUUUUCUG